rnacentral:tRNA from 1 species
GCUUGGGUGGCUCAGUCGGUUGAGCGUCCGACUUCAGCUCAGGUCAGGAUCUCACAGUCUGUGGGUUCGAGCCCCGCGUCGGGCU